rnacentral:lncRNA from 1 species
GAGAGCCACUAGCUGGGAGGGGGUAAUGGGAGCCGGCGCAGGGGUAAUCAGUUACAUUUUGGCUGCUUUCACCAGCACCCCUUGCUCUUGAAUGAGAGUGGGAGGGUAUGUGUCACUCUGGGAAUAGCUACAGACCUGUGUUAGGAAACACAUAAGAUGCUGCAGUAUACACCUUGGCUUAUUUUAUUUCUGUUGUUUAUAUUUAUUUUUGAGUAUUGAAUUUGCUUCCAUUUUUCUUUUGGAGUAGCUUCUCAGUGCUAACUCCAUGCUUUUAUGAAGAAAAGUAGCAUUUUCCCCUCUCUUGCCAUCUCUCUCUCUCUCUCCAGCACGUAAAGCCUCUUUCCCCGUGAUCACAGGAAACCAGAGAGCUGGUUACUGGUGAUGCUGCAGAGUCUUUCUCUGACUGGUGAUGAAUGGUCAAAAGAUGCUGAAUGUGAAGCAGUCAUUCAUGAAAGCUCUUAGGACACUUUCUCUGGAGCCAGGUGCUAAGAACUUCUCAACAGGGACAACUUAGUGGGGGGAAUGGAAAAUGAACACACACCACAAUGUAAAACUUUGGCUACAAAUAUGAGCUGAUUUGCAGAGGAGAGUCGUGUUUUGUGUGGUAUUUUCUCCACGGUAUGGCUUAUUGCCUGAAGUAGGUAAAAGUCUUUUUCCUGCACAGAAACCGAAGAGGUUAAGUGUGAGGAAGAAGAAAGGGUUUUGGCUAGAAAUACCUGAUUGAUUGAAAUAAAAAUUAAGAACCCUUUUGUCCCAUGGUGAGAAAAUAAUCAAAAUAUCCUAUUGCAAGAAAUCUUGAUGUUCAGUAAAAACGAGACAGAACAAAAGAAAAAAAACUGGCAAUGUAUUUUUGGUUUUGUUUUUUGUUGUGUUUUUUUUUUUUUUUUUUAAGAUUGGACUCAGAAUAAGAUCUGAAUGUCUGUAUUGUCAUUUUCAUUUAAAAGAAAAAGUAAAUGAGCAAAAGAAAUGAUUCUAAGUGCAAAGGAGAUGCAAACAGUCAUGAGAACUUAAAGCUUUUAAUAAUGUUGUAUGUUGACUUUGUAAACUCAGCCACAAAUCAUUUCUUGCUGACAGCUCUUUUAGAGGCUGAAGAAAUGAAUUUGUCUUGAGCACAAUUGCUAUGACUUUUUUGUAGAGUCCACAUUUUUUCUCUUCGUUAUGGCUUUCUGAGUGCUUUAUGACACACAGCCUCCCUACCUCUGCAGGUCAUGUUGUCUCAAGACAAAUAGAGAAUUUGUAGAAAAUUAAAGCACUCACAAUUGGUGUUGGGGGAAAGGAAGUCACAAGGGCUCUCUCCUUAGCCUGUGAUGGAAGAUACAAGUAAGCAGGUUUUUCUCGGCCUUCUCUAAGGAUAGGCUUGGCCCCAUGGAAUACACUUGAGAAUAAAUCAGUAACCCCCCCCCGUGAUCAGGGCUGCAUUAACUCAGUCCCCAGGUAUGGUCCCACAGCAGGCAACGUCUCAUCUUCCCCUCUGACAGCAUAGAAUUUAAUCUCUUUUUAUCUCUUUAAAUUUCUGAGUCCUGUGCUUCUUAAAUAUUUUUUCAUUCAGUGUUUUUUUAAUUUUGAUUUUUGUUCAAAGGCAAAUCUAGUUUCUGAUGUCUUUCUUCUUCCAUACUAAAAACACAUGCAUGAUAUCUUUCCAAAGAAUGAGGAGGAAAUGGCUCAUUCUUUUUUUUUUUUUUUUAAGGGCUAUACCUGUGGCAUGUGGAAGUUCCUGGGCAGGGGUCGAAUCCGAGCUGCAGCUGCUAGCCUACACCACAACCACAGCAGCAGCAACACCAGAUCCGAGCAGCAUCUGUGACCUACAUCGACCACAGCUCAUGGCAACACUGGAUCCUUAACCCACUGAGUCAGGGAUCAAACCCGAAUCCUCAUGGAUACGAGUUGGGUUUCUAACCCACUGAGCCACAGCGGGAACUUCCGAAAAUGGCUCGUUCUUGAUUUUUGUAUAUGAAAGGAUGUCAAGGGAGGACUUUGAGGCUUUUUUAAACUUUGUUUCAAGCUGUUGUUGUGUCCCCUUUAGCCAGUCCAGGCACGUUCAUUGUAUCUAAACCUUCCUUCCUUUCCUUUCUUUUUUCUUUUCUUUUUAAAAAUUUUUUCGGCCACCCGGAGGCAUAGGUAGUUCCCUGGGCCAGGGAUCAGAUGUGAGCCACAUUUGCCACCUAAACUGCAGCUGUGGCAACGCCAGAUCCUUUAACCCACUGUGCCAGGCUGGGGUUCGAACCUGUGUCCUGGCACUGCAGAGACUCCGCUGAUCCUGUUGUGUCCCAUGGAGAACUCCUCCUUUCCUUUGAAAUAUGUGUUCAGGAUCUGGUUUUAUGAGCAUCAACCAAUGUGCAGCAUUUGGCUCAGCCCUGACGAAAGUUCAAAGGUCAUGAAGGCAUCGUCCCAACCUGUCAGGAGGUUAUAAGCUCGUGCAGAAACCAGACUGACUAAAUCUGACAGUGAGAUAGGAUAUGUUGUGUGAUGAUGAAGGUGCAGAGUGAAAUGUUUAAUUUAGGGAAGGCUUCAUAAGAAAAGUGGCAUUUGAAAGAAACUGAUGAGGGAAGCCAGAAGUGCAAAGGGAAUGAUGUCAAGACCAAAGGCUUAAGUGCAGUGAACAGAGUAUUCCAGUACCUAGAACUCAAGGUAUGUGCAUAAACUCUAAGACCUUGUCCUUAAAAAAAAAAAAAAAAAAAAAAAAAACACCCAGUCUAGCAAGGGAGAAAUGUAAAUGAACGAAUGAACGAGAGUACAUUUUGCCUUCCCCGUUGUGCACAAGGCCUUUGCAACAUCGAAGAAGAAACCCUGAGUGUGGUGGAGGUGGGGGGUUGGCUGGAAAGCUUCAUUCACUGAGGUCUGAAUCUUGAAGGAGCGAUACUUUGCCCGUGGAAAUAAAAGGAGAGCAUAUACACGCUCCCCUCAUCCUUUGUCCUUAUAACAGACACACUUUUCUGGGGCUUUCUAAGGAAAUUUUAUUUCAGGAUUCUGCCAGCAGUAGUUCUCCCGGAACCAGAAGUGUAAGGAUACCAAGUUCUGCCUUGUCUUUUCUCACUGAUUUCUCUCAGUUUUUUUCUCUCGCUGUUCUUGUGAGUAUUUAUCACUCACUUUCUUUGCGCCAUUUGCUUCUCCACCUGGACCUUGUAGGAAACACCCGUGCUGUUGUCUAUCCCAGAGGAAACUCUUAGGUCAUCUUCCCAACAUGCCUCCAGUUUCAUUAAACAAAAACCUAGUUGUUAUAAAAGCAGGGUUGGACCCUGGCUUUCUGCAGUAUAGCUGGGCCAGAGAUGGUCUCACGAUUGCACAAGGAAUGGUGUUUCAAGUUGAGGCUCUGAAGUUGGAUGGCUCAGUUCUGCCACUUGCUUGAUGUUUAAUCUCAAAGUGGUAACUGAAUCCAUCUGUGCCUCGACUCCCUUCUCUAUGAGAUGGAAAUAAUAUAGUACUUAUCUCACAAGACCAUUGUAGGGGUUACAAGAGAUAGUUCAUGGAUUUAUCACUGUGGUUAUGAUGUAGUCACAUUUUAUAAAUAUUAUUUAAAAUUUCGAAGGAGUUCCCAUUGAGGCUGAGGGGGUUAGGAACGCGACAUAGUGUCGGUGAUGAUGUGGGUUCGAUCCCUGGCCUCACUCAGUGGGUUAAGGAUCCGGCAUUGCCGCAAGCUGUGGCAUAGGUCACAGAUGCGGCUCAGAUCCUGUGUUGCUGUGGCUGUGGCAUAGGCCUAAGUUACAGCUCUGAUUCGACCUGGAACUUCUACAUGCUGCAGGUGUGGCUGUAAAAAGAAAAAAACAAUUUUGGCCAGAUAUGUAGCUCCUUCUUGCUUUGUUUGCUGCAUGAUGACAAACUGUGAUGGUCUGUGGCAUGUGUCACUUUGUCUGGGCCAUGGGAUGCCCGGAUAACUGGUUAAACAUUACUUCCCGCUGUGUCCGUGAGGAUGAUUCUAUGAGGUUAGCAUUUGAGUAGGUGGACUGAGCAAAGCAAAUGGCCCUCUCCUACGUGGGUGGGCAUCAUCCAAACUGCUGAGGGCUUGGAAUUGAGCAGAAAGGCUAAGGAAGUUCGGUUCCUUGUUCUGCUAACUGUUUGAGCUGAGACAGUUUUCUGCUCUUGAAGAUCCUCAAGCCUUUGAACUACACCAUAGGCAAUCUUUUCUUUUCUUUUUUAAAUUUUUUUCUUCUUUGUAAAAUUUUUUUUGUUUCCUUUUUUAAUUUUUUUAGAUUAAAAAUUUAUUAUGGUUGAUUACAGUGUUCUCUCAAUUUCUGCAGGACAGCAAAGUGACCCAGUUAUAUGUAUAUAUAUUUUCUUUUUCUCAUAUUAUCUUCCAUCACAUUCCAUCACAAGUGAUUGGAUAUGGUUCCCUGUGCUAUACAGCAAGACCUCAUUGUUUAUCUACUCCAAAUGCAAUACUUUGCAUCUACUAAUGCCAACUCCUUGUCAUCCCACUCCUUCCCCCCGCCCCUUUGACCACAUGUCUGUUCUCCAUGUCCAUGAGUUUAUUUCUGUUCUGUAGAUAGAUUCAUUUAUGCCAUAUUUUUUUUUAUCUUUUAAUUAAAAAAAUUUUUUUUAAAUUUUUGUCUUUUUGCCAUUUCUUGGGCCACUCCCACGGCAUAUGGAGGUUCCCAGGCUAGGGGUCAAAUCAGAGUUGUAGCUGCCGGUCUAUGCCAGAGCCACAGCAACUCCAGACCCAAGCCGCGUCUGCAACCUACACCACAGCUCACGUGUGCCGUAUUUUUAGAUUCCACAUUUAAGUGACAUCAUAUGGUAUUUGUCUUUCUCUUUCUGUCUUAUUUCACUUAGUAUGAGAAUCUCUAGUUCCAUCCAUGUUGCUGCAAAUGCCAUUAUUUUUGUUCUUUUUUAUGGCUGAGUAGUAUUCCAUUGUGUGUGUGUACCACCUCUUCUUAAUCCAUUCAUCUGCCAAUGGACAUAUAGGUUGUUUCCAUGUCUCAGCUACUGUGAAUAGUGCUGCAGUAAACAUAGGGGUGCAUAUAUCUUUCUGAAUGAAUGUUUUGUCCAGACAUAUACUCAGGAGUGGAAUUGCUGGAUCAUAUGGUCGUUCUAUAUAUAGUUUUCUGAGGUAUCUUCAUACUGUUUUCCAUAGUGGUUGUACCAUUUUACAUUCCCACCAACAGUGUAGGAGGGUUCCCUUUUCUCCACACCCUCUCUAGCACUUGUUAUUUGCAGACUUAUUAAUGAUAGACAUUCUGACCAGUGUGAGGUGGUACCUCGUAGUAGUUUUGAUGAGCAUCACAGAUUCACUUUUUUGAAUCUCCAGCUUUCAGACAGCAGUUAUUGGGCUUCUCAGCCUCCAUAAUUGCAUGAGCCAAUUCUUCAUAAGAAAUCUCUUCCCCGAUAUUUAUAUAUUCCUAUUGUUCUUUUCUCUGGAGAACCUUAAUACAUGAUCUUUCUAACCAAAGUGUGGUUUGCAGUGAGUGGCAUUAGCAUCAUCUGGGAGCUCAUUAGGAAUACCUAUUCUCAGGCCCCGCCUUGCAAUUUAACAAGAUCCUUGAGUGAUUCCUUCCAUGUUGGAGACUCGGUUCCCUUAUUCCCCACGAAAAUUUCAUGGUUGUUUCAUUGCUCCAUCAACUAUGGGACAGCCACAGCAUCAUACCACAGACUGAGGAUUAGCCAGUUAAGGACAGUUUCAGCAAAGAUAGUAAACAAAAAUCCAGUUCUGUUUCAAAUAGUGCAGUUCUUAGGAAAUAAAAGAGUUUUUAAGGCUGCUCUAAUAAUCCCUGAAAGAGAGGGACGGAGGGCUAGAUCUCUAUACCACAGGGUUGUUAGGGGAGCUGGAGGGGAAGAGAGACCUAGUGACCAGGAACAGGAUUCCUUACUCUUCUCUUAAAAAGAGGCAACCAAGAAGAGAGUGGAGGGAAACAGAGGAGUACCUGCAAGUCAAGCAUCUACUGGAGAAAGUUGGUCAGAUAGAGAUAAAUAAGAAAGAACAAAAAGCCUUUGAGCCAAGAGCUCUCACACUAACCUGGUUUCCUGUGGCAUUAACUUUUCACCGUGGAGUGAGAGAAUAACAAGAAUUUAAGAGGUAUUUUUCUUAGUUGGAUUGGGUGGAGUGAGGAUCAAGACAUUUGUUGGAAAAGUGCCUACAGAACCACAGCUGGGCUUUGGCUACUCAACACCUAUGUCUACCUUCUCUUCCCUCUCAGUUUUCUGGAUGACUGAAAAAAAUAGACAUUACAUUCUCUCAAAUGUUCAGAUUUCCAGCCAGAGUCAUAAGAGACAAUUCAAGGGGACCAGGUAAACACUGAACGGAUAUGAUGGUAAUCCACCAAAGCUAUUGGGCUGUAUCAGCAGCAGACAAAAAAGUACCCAGUAAAAGUUGAAUACAAAGCAGGAAAAAUGGGAUUUCCUUAC